UCAGCAGCACGUAUAUCAGCACGCACUGACGGGAAAGAGCCUUUCCGCUUCCCGUUGUUUUUCCAGUUCGCAGACAGACACGAAAUGACCGGAUUAUGAUUUGGGAUGGAUCCAUUAAAAUGAAAGUUUUUACCGAGUCGAAGAAGAUGUAGAAUUCUACAAGUGUUCCUCCUGGUUUUCGGUGGCGUGGAAGCAGUGAUUGGCUGUCAGCUGCGCAGAAUGGACAUCAUUGCUGGGAGAGGCAGUUCAUUGAUAUUCAUUGUCUUGAAUUCCUCCAGCCCUGACUAAUCGAACCGGAGCUCCUCAUCAUCAUUCGAGAGGCCACUCCAUGGCUUGAAUAGGAAAUGAGUCAACCCGCAAAAGACUAUUUUUACUUUGCAUUACACAAUGAAACAGCUGUAAGGCAGCAACUGCUGGGGGGCCUAUUAUUAUCCAUUCAGGGGUUGAAGACCAAUGCCUCCAACUUCUAUUUUGAAUGCAUUCGCAUGAACUAUCUAUUGUCACAGGCUGCACACAGUUUAAAUGCAUUCUAAUUCCAAUUUAAAAUGGAAUUGUCAAAUCAUUUGUGACACAAUUUAAUACGAUAAUCUCAAUGAAUGUUUCCAGCUUUAAAAAAAUCUAGCUAUUUUAAAAAGAAAAUCUCCAGUGCAAUAGACCACACUUUAAUAAUCCAAUUUCCUGUAUAUGCAUAUAUUUGUUUAAACAAACAUAGUUGGAAUAUUUGGGGGAAAUCAUUUGUUUGAUAGUCUCAUGCAAAAUAAAAAUGAAUACAUUGAGACGGCUGCCUUCAGAAUUGUGGCAGCUAGACGUGCUCAAUCUACUGAAACAUUUGCAGUGAAACACUGUAUGUUUUAUCAGCACAAUGGGAGUUCAACUAUUUAAAUGAAGAUUUUGCUUCACUUGUUGCCAGGCUAACUCAAUAACAUGAUGGGGGUUAUGCGGGUAGGACUAUGGUCUUGCAUUUCAAGCAGGUUUUUUUCCCAGACCAUUGCAAAUGUUGAUACUUGUGAAUGCCCUUUAAUGUGAUUACUACUUCCCAGCUUUCAGGGACAUUUUUUCCAUUAUUUUUUUUAGCUGCUUCUGAUGCCUAACUGUCAUACAAAUGAGGAACAAGACAAAUAAAGAAGAAUUUUAAA